UACGGAGGGGGCUAGCGUUGUUCGGAAUCAUUGGGCGUAAAGGGCGCGUAGGCGGCCGAUCAAGUCGGAGGUGAAAUCCCUCGGCUCAACUGAGGAAUUGCCUUCGAUACUGUUCAGCUUGAGACCGGAAGAGGUAAGUGGAACUGCGAGUGUAGAGGUGAAAUUCGUAGAUAUUCGCAAGAACACCAGUGGCGAAGGCGGCUUACUGGUCCGGUUCUGACGCUGAGGCGCGAAAGCGUGGGGAGCAAACAGG
rnacentral:rRNA from 1 species